UACGUAGGUGACAAGCGUUGUCCGGAAUUACUGGGCGUAAAGCGAGCGUAGUCGGUUAUUUAAGUCGGGUGUGAAAGCCCCGGGCUCAACCUGGGAAUUGCAUUCGAUACUGGAUAGCUAGAGUUCGGCAGAGGGAAGCGGAAUUUCCGGUGUAGCGGUGAAAUGCGUAGAUAUCGGAAGGAACAUCAGUGGCGAAAGCGGCUUCCUGGACCAGAACUGACGAUCAGGCUCGAAAGCGUGGGGAGCAACAGG
rnacentral:rRNA from 1 species